rnacentral:rRNA from 1 species
AGAUUGAACGCUGGCGGCAUGCCUUACACAUGCAAGUCGAACGGCAGCACGGGAGCAAUCCUGGUGGCGAGUGGCGAACGGGUGAGUAAUACAUCGGAACGUGCCCAGUAGUGGGGGAUAACCCGGCGAAAGCCGGACUGAUACCGCAUACGACCUACGGGUGAAAGCAGGGGAUCGCAAGACCUUGCGCUAUUGGAGCGGCCGAUGUCAGAUUAGCUUGUUGGUGGGGUAAAAGCCCACCAAGGCGACGAUCUGUAGCUGGUCUGAGAGGACGACCAGCCACACUGGGACUGAGACACGGCCCAGACUCCUACGGGAGGCAGCAGUGGGGAAUUUUCCGCAAUGGGGAAACCCUGACGGAGCGACGCCGCGUGUGGGAAGAAGGCCUUCGGGUCGUAAACCACUGUCGAGGGGGACGAUAUUGACGGUACCCCUGGAGGAAGCCCCGGCUAACUACGUGCCAGCAGCCGC